rnacentral:rRNA from 1 species
AGCAGCCGCGGUAAUUCCAGCUCCAAUAGCGUAUAUUAAAGUUGUUGCAGUUAAAAAGCUCGUAGUUGAAUUUCGAGAUCAGUACGCUGGUCGUGCCUUUGGUAUGCACUGGUGUCACUGGUUUCUCCCUUCUGAAGAACUGUCAUGCCAUUCAGUUGGUGUGGCGGGGAAUCAGGACUGUUACUUUGAAAAAAUUAGAGUGUUUAAAGUAGGCUCGCGCUUGAAUACAUUAGCAUGGAAUAAUGAAAUAGGACGUUUGACCCUAUUUUGUUGGUUUCUAGGAUCGACGUAAUGAUUAAUAGGGAUAGUUGGGGGCAUUAGUAUUCAAUUGUCAGAGGUGAAAUUCUUGGAUUUAUUGAAGACUAACUACUGCGAAAGCAUUUGCCAAGGAUGUUUUCAUUAAUCAAGAACGAAAGUUAGGGGAUCGAAGACGAUCAGAUACCGUCGUAGUCUUAACCAUAAACUAUGCCGACUAGGGAUUCGGAUGAUGUUAAUUUUUAAUGACUCAUUC